GCCGAGGCCGACAAGACGGCCAGCAUCGUCAACCAGGAGUACAACAACGACGGCAACGGCAACUUUGCCAACAGGUUUGAAACAUCGAAUGGCAUAACUACUGUGGAAGAGGGAGUCUUCUACCCCGGUCCGGAACCCGAGUCUGGAACGUUCGCGAGGAGCGGCUUCUUCUCGUACGACUGGGAGGGCGUCACCUACAAAGUGUACUGGACGGCCGACCAGGAUGGCUUCUUAGCGACUGGCGAUCACCUGCCCAAUGGCGGCGAUGGUGAACAAUAUGGGCUUCUAUUUUAAGCACAGAAGGAAAUAAAUGAAACAUGAAAACGAUGCCCAGCAGAAGGACGAAGAAAAUGGGCGACUGAACAGCUCGAGCAUAGUCUACAUUCACUGAGCCCGUCGAGUGAAACAGUGUCAAAUAAAGCAAAACACAGCGUCCCUGUAUGAAUGAAUGAAAUAAAGCAGAGAGCAAUCAGA